rnacentral:misc_RNA from 1 species
GGAAAAGAUUGGUAUGGUUGAUGGGUUAAGUUAAAGUAACUAUGGUUGAGUUGAUUUUUUUGCAACGAACGGUGGGAUUUUGAUUUUGCAAGACGGUGGCGUCAAGGUCUUUUGUUUGGCGAUACGAAUAUCUUCCAAACUUCGGGCGCGAGCGGCUCCGUGCUUUCGCGUCGCUUGUUUAGCCAGGUACGCACCGCUGGAUUUUAG